rnacentral:rRNA from 1 species
GUGAGCGUGCGGGCGAUACGGGCAGACUUGAGUACUGCAGGGGAGACUGGAAUUCCUGGUGUAGCGGUGGAAUGCGCAGAUAUCAGGAGGAACACCGGUGGCGAAGGCGGGCCUCUGGGCAGUAACUGACGCUGAGGAGCGAAAGCGUGGGGAGCGAACAGGAUUAGAUACCCUGGUAGUCCACGCCGUAAACGGUGGGUACUAGGUGUGGGUUUCCUUCCUUGGGAUCCGUGCCGUAGCUAACGCAUUAAGUACCCCGCCUGGGGAGUACGGCCGCGAGGCUAAAACUCAAAGAAAUUGACGGGGGCCCGCACAAGCGGCGGAGCAUGUGGAUUAAUUCGAUGCAACGCGAAGAACCUUACCUGGGUUUGACAUGCACAGGACGCCGGCAGAGAUGUCGGUUCCCUUGUGGCCUGUGUGCAGGUGGUGCAUGGCUGUCGUCAGCUCGUGUCGUGAGAUGUUGGGUUAAGUCCCGCAACGAGCGCAACCCUUGUCUCAUGUUGCCAGCGGGUAAUGCCGGGGACUCGUGAGAGACUGCCGGGGUCAACUCGGAGGAAGGUGGGGAUGACGUCAAGUCAUCAUGCCCCUUAUGUCCAGGGCUUCACACAUGCUACAAUGGCCGGUACAAAGGGCUGCGAUGCCGCGAGGUUAAGCGAAUCCUUUUAAAGCCGGUC